rnacentral:pre_miRNA from 1 species
UUCGCUCAUAUUUGUAUGGAAUGGGAUCGUUUGCCUACGUUUGCCGUUAGGGGCGCUGUUCCAACUGCAUACAAAAUUGGGUUA